rnacentral:rRNA from 1 species
CAUGCCGCGUGUGUGAAGAAGGUCUUCGGAUUGUAAAGCACUUUAAGUUGGGAGGAAGGGCAGUAAGCUAAUACCUUGCUGUUUUGACGUUACCGACAGAAUAAGCACCGGCUAACUUCGUGCCAGCAGCCGCGGUAA